AUGAGCAGUGACAUAGCAAACUGCUGCUGAUGUCUGAAUAACACAGGGCAUUGAGCCAGGUAAAAACUUUCCCUUUUCAGAGGACUGAAGACUUUGAUCCAUGGACAGAUUUGCUGAACCAGCUGAAACCUUCAAAGGACCAAGCUAAAUACUGCCAGACUAAUCAACUGCCAGACAGGGAACAUUUUCAUCGCCUCCUGCUCAGGCCCUGCUUCCUGGAGCAAUGUCUGCUGUUGAGGAUCCCAAAGCUAGAACCAAAGAGCCCCCAUGGGAUGUCAAAGCCACAAGAUGGAAGGAGCCUGGGUUUUGGAAUUACCACAUGGAGGAAACUUUCCGCCCACUUGGGACAUUCAUGUAGAACUGUUAAGUUGUGAGAAAUAAACUUUUAUCACAUUAAAACUCUCAAUUUAGGGUUUAAUUGCUAACAGCACCUAGCAUUACGCUGUCUUAUACAGUCAGGUAUUGCUCCAUCAACGCAUGCAGAU